UCUAAUUGUGUCACUGAAUGCAUGAUCAUUAGCUCAUGAUAGUUUUGGUCCUCAGUGGUGAUAGAUGUAUUCAUUUUUCUGGUCAUUUUGAUUUUUAAUCUUGUAUAAUGUGUGUGGAAGUCUGUAUUAAGGCAUUUGUGUUAAGCCUUGUCAAUUUUGGCUAGUUCUGAUAGUCACAAGCUUGUUAGUCUAAAAGGUGACCUCAAUUUGACUAACCACGGUUAAUGGUGACUGAACUAGGGUUAAAAGAACUGACCAAGGUCAAGUUCAGG
rnacentral:lncRNA from 1 species